UUUUGUGUACAGCUGGUAGAGCAUGAGACUCUUAAUCUCAAGGUUGUGGGUUUGAGCCCUACACUGGGCAAAA